GUAGGUCGUGGUGUUUGUAGUUUUAGUUUUGUAGUUUUAGUGGUGAUGUUUCUGAGCAGGAGAUCUGCAGACUGCAGCGUUUCUGAUUCAGAGGAAGAGCUGUGGUGGAAAGUUCUCUCAUAGUGAAAGUGAGGGGCCUCGCGUCGGGCCCCCGGUUUCUCUGGUAGACGGUUAGUGGAGCGGGGGUCUCAGUGUGGUUUUGUGUUUCAGGCGGUGGGGGAGGCGAGGGGGGCGGCGGCCUGUGCUGGAAGCUGCUGGUCUCUGCUGUCCUGGUGACCGUCCUGAUGAUCGGGCUGUGCGUCACCAUCAUCACCUACAGAGCGGGAUUCCAGACGUCCUUCUGUAAGAACUGUGUGAAGGAGAACUCCAGUCUGAAGACGGUGGACCUGCACUAUGCCAGUCUCAGGCAUGUGAAUACCCCUCAGAGUGGCACCAUGCCCCCGGACCACAGUGUGACCUACGACGUGGUGGCCAGGAAGACUGCAGCCAAUCACAGAGCUUAAUAUAUACAUAACAUAUAUAUAUCUUAAUAUAAACACCAUAUACAGCUCUGGAAAAAAUUUCAAGAAUUCAGAAAUCAAUAUUUG